CGCCAUGGCGGAAGCUCCGCGCUCAGCUGGCCCGCGCAGAUUCAGUGGUUCUCAGUGGCACGUGCAGAACAUCCUCAGUGACUCAGUGGAGAGCUCCGAUGAUGAAUUCUUUGAUGCUCGAGAAGAGAUGGUGGAAGGAAAAAAUGCAAUUCUAAUAGGCAUGAGCCAGUGGAACUCAAAUGACCUCGUUGAGCAGAUAGAAACAAUUGGGAAGCUAGAGGAAAAUCAAGGUGAGGUGUCUGCAUUUUGCUCAUCUGACUUUCUACAGGAAAAACAACGUGAAUUAUAUAAAGCCUCUUUAAGGAAACAAAGAUUCCCUGCACAAAACAGUAUUGAAAUACAUGAGGACAAUGAGGGAGGAGCUCAAAACCAAAAAUGCCGAACUCAUGUGCUCAUUUUGAUACUACAUGGUGGGAACAUCUUAGACACUGGAGGAGGGGACCAGAACAGCAAGUUGGCAGACAUCAACACCUUCAAUUCUGUGUUUGAGAAGGUGACCCAAGCCCAUUUCCCUGCUGCUUUGGGCCACAUCUUAAUCAGACUUGUUCCCUGCCCAGCAGUCUGUUCGUCGGCUUUCUCUCUUGUUUCCAACCUGAAUCCAUACAGCUAUGAUGAGAACUGUCUCAGCAGUAGUGAAGACCACAUCCCACUGGCUGCCUUGCCUUUGCUGGCUAUUUCAUCCCCACACUACCAGGAUGCAGUUGCCUUGGUGAUUAGCAGAGCCAACCAAGUUUAUAACGAAUUUCUCAAAUCUGCAGAUGGGGCUGGUUUUAAUGGUCAGGUGUGUCUCAUUGGUGACUGCAUAGGAGGAAUUUUGGGUUUUGAUGCCAUCUGCUGCAAUGCUAACAUGGCUGAUGAGAGUCAGAACAGCAGCAGGAGAGGAAGCAUCAGCAGCAUUCAGAAUCAUACCCUCUUAGCAGAGGACUCUAGCCUGGAUGGCAACAAGCGCCUCAGCAAAAGCAAUAUUGAUAUCUCGGGAAUUGUGGAGGAUGAGGAACCAAGCCAGUCGCUACCACGGAAACAAAGUGACUCAUCCACUUAUGACUGUGAUACUAUAACUCAACAUCAUGCUUUCCUUUCUAGUGCAUUUUCUUUGCCCAGCAUCCACUCAAAUGUGUUGAAAGAUGAUGCAGACUUUCCUCCUGUGAAUAGCUCCAGUCUCUCAGAAGUAAACCUGGGCCGAUUUGAAUUCGAGGUGUCUGAUUUCUUCCUCUUUGGAUCGCCGCUUGGUUUGGUGCUGGCCCUGAGGAGUACUGUUUUGCCUGGCCUGGAUGUAUGCCAGAUCCGCCCAGCCUGCAGCCAGGUGUACAGUUUCUUUCACUCUGCUGAUCCUUCUGCCUGUAGACUUGAACCAUUGCUGGAGAGAAGAUUCCAUCUCCUGCCUCCAUUCAAUGUCCCACGGUACCAGAGAUACCCUCUGGGGGAUGGAAAAUCUCACCAGUUAGGUGAUGCUUUACACAGUCAUAGUGCUCUAUUCCUUGAGAACAGCUCUUUGAACAUGCCUUUUCUUCAAGAGACUUCUGAGUUUCCAAAUGUACCCAGUCAACUGCAGGGAAAAUCAAGGAGAUCAAGCUUGGUCAGCACAAACAGUGAAACCUCGGGGUCAACAGAGAGUUUGCCGUCUACGUACCUCACCAACAUUACUGCCAAGUGGUGGGGAACAAAGCGAAUAGAUUAUGCCUUGUACUGUCCAGAUGUACUGACUGCGUUUCCAACUGUGGCCCUGCCACAUCUCUUCCAUGCCAGCUACUGGGAAUCAACAGAUGUUGUGGCAUUCAUUUUGAGACAGGUGAUGAGGUAUGAAAAUGUUAAUUUCAAGGAAAACGACAGCCUGGAUCCAGCAACACUAAGCCCAUCCAAUCCACGAGAAAAAUGGCUACGCAGAAGGACGCAUGUCAAGUUGAGAAAUGUGACUGCCAAUCACCGAGCUAAUGAUAUCAUUGCAGCAGAAGAUGGUCCACAAGUACUGGUUGGGCGCUUUAUGUAUGGGCCUCUGGAUAUGGUAGCUUUAACGGGUGAAAAGGUUGAUAUCUUCAUAAUGACUGAGCCAUCUUCAGGUAGAUGGGUGUAUUUUGACACAGAGAUAUCCAACAGCAGUGGUCGAAUAUCAUACAACAUACCCGAACAGAGGAGGCUCAGAGUUGGCGUGUAUCCUAUCAAAAUGGUGGUCAGAGGGGACCAGAGCAGUGCCACAAGUUAUAUGACCGUGCUUCCCCGAGGAAUGGAAUGUGUGGUCUUCAGCAUUGAUGGUUCAUUUGCAGCAAGUGUGUCGAUUAUGGGAAGUGACCCCAAAGUCCGAGCUGGGGCAGUUGAUGUUGUUAGGCAUUGGCAAGAUCUGGGAUAUCUAAUCAUCUAUAUCACUGGCCGUCCAGAUAUGCAAAAGCAACGUGUGGUUUCCUGGUUGUCUCAACACAACUUUCCACAAGGAAUGAUCUUCUUCUCAGAUGGACUUGUUCAUGACCCACUGCGACAAAAGACUAUUUUUCUCCGGAAUCUCAUGCAAGAGUGCCACAUCAAAAUCUGUGCUGCAUAUGGUUCCAUGAAAGAUAUUUCUGUAUACAGUGUUUUGGCUCUGUCACCAUCUCAAAUCUACAUUGUUGGAAGGUCAACAAAGAAAUACCAGACACAGUGUCAAUUUCUCAGUGAAGGUUAUGCAGCCCAUUUGGCUUCACUGGAGUUCAGUCUCCAUUCACGAUCCAAAAAAAACAACUCUCGGAUGAUCUUGAGAAAAGGCAGCUUUGGCCUCCAUUCCCAACCUGAGUUUUUGCGCAAGAGAAACCAUCUCCGUAGGACUAUGUCUGUGCAGCAACCUGACCCACCUUCUUCCAACCCCAAACCAGAGCGUGCCCAGAGCCAGCCCGAGUCAGACAAAGAUCAUGAUAGGCAUUUGCCCUCCAUUGCGUGGGUCCGAGGUGGAGUUCACAAAUUUGAAUCUGUCCCCUAGAAAGAUGGAAGAUACAGAUCUUGGGUGCACUCCAUUAGGCUUGUAGGCAUGGCAUGCCUCAAAGGUAAUAUUCAGGCAAUUUCAAAGUAGGAGGCUGGGAGAGAUCUGUACCUCAGUCUUCCCUUCUCUGGAAUCUGCAUUAUUACACCAACCUGGGAACUUCCACUUUUUUGCUUUUGACAUGUUUGUUGGGAAACUUUAAAACAAUCUGAAACUGCAAUGCUGAAGUACUUGCAAUAGUAACAGGAAAUGUCUUAUGGUAUAUUUUAUAAUAAAUAUAAUAAAAUGUGCAAUAAGAGGAAAAAGGUGUAGUAGGUUGAAUUUGCUCGAAGGAAGGACCGUGAUACCAGCUAACUAGGAUAAAUCCUGGAGGUUACAGCAAAAGCUUACACUUUAAAAACUAGUUGUAUCUGUUGCUGCUUUGCUUUUGAAAAGACUGUACAUUUCCAAGGGAAGCAGUUUUGGGAACCACAAUAAUGGGUGGUCAGGAUUUAUAUGGCAAAAUGCCUUGGGUGCCUUAGACCCAAGAUUUUCUUUAAAUUUGCAGAAUUGGUGAACAGACACCAACAGGAGCACUCAUUUGUGAGGUGCUAGGCAUCAAGUAAAUAGAAGUCUGCUUCUGAAGUAGAUUGUAAAUGCUUCACAUUAGAAAUAAAUGUCUCUGCAGUCUGAAGCAGUUAGUGUUGCUGUAUACCAAGUGAUGUGUAAAGUGUACAAGAUCCCAUUGUUUUGUGGAACUUAGUGACUGUGCAAAAUAUGUGAACUGCUCCAAGCAAGGAAAUGGCUAUAAUCAUAGCAGACUGAGACGUGGAUCCGAAGAUGUAAGGAGAAGAAUACACAAGUUGUAUCAGACAGCAGAUUCCAUCUCCUCUGUCCAGCUCACUGCUAGUAUAGCUGCCAGAGCUAGUAAGAUGUCAAUGCAGUAAAGGCAUGUCUGAUAUUUGUUCUGUGAUCCUUCCUACCAAGUGUACCUUGUUUUGGCAGCUGCCAACAAAAUGCCCAGGGUACAUGCUUUGAAAAGAUCAGAUACUCCAAGAGACCCCCAAAUCAGUUCUUCAGUUUUGAGUUAUUGUGGUAGGAAGACCCAAAUUUGCCCUUUUCAAAACAAAACAUCUCUGUGGAAUUCUGUGGCAGGCAUUAGAAGAAGUGACGUCUGAACACAAGAAAGGAGAAAUCUCCUGGGAUUACUAAUUUUGCAAGAAAACAUGUUAUGAAUGCUCUGGUUUUAUGUAUUUCUUUUAGUAGCUCUGUCACCUUUAUAGCAGUCAUUGUGCUUUCAUUUAAGAGUAAUAUCACUUCAGGAGUGAAAGUAAGUUCCUGGUCUGUGUGCAUGCUUUAGAAUGGUAAAAAUGUAUAUGACAUUGAAGUUAAGCUGAAAAUAUUUUUCCAACUUCAUUUCCUAAAAUGCACAGAAGCUUGCAUGGCCUUUAUAUACUUCCAACACUAAUUACUGCUCAGGGAUAGAAUGGUUUGCCAGCUGAUCACAUGCCUCCAAGUACAUAUUUUUGCAAACACUGUUACAGGCAUCAGUUUGGAGUUUAAUGCUUCAUGCUAAUGAGGAGCUGAUGUCUGAAGGAUUCACUGCCAGAGGCAUUUGUUUUGAAAGUACUAGCAAGUUGCUGCUAAACUGAUGAGUUUUGUUAGAAGUGCAAGUACAAAAGAGGUGGUUAUGAUUUUGACAUCUCACAUCUAGACUGGCAAUGUAACAGCCUAGUUGUGGCAGUGGAAAACGGUAUCUCAUGCAUGUAGAAACACUAGGUUUUGCAGUUAUAUUCAUGCUUGAUAUUUGCCUGAUGAAUCACUAAUUUUACCAUAUAGUUUAGUCUCUUGUUACCACUUAAAACAUUUUCUUCCUAUCAGAACUUCAGUUUUAUGCUUUGUCCACACAAAAGUGUAUGUAGCAGUUCAUAGUCAUUCAGUUUGGAAGUGGAUGCCUGUUUUUAUUCAGUUUUAGUUCAGUUUUCACCAAAUAAUUACCAAUGCUCUUAAACAGGCUUUUUUGCUGUCAUGAACUUUAUAGGCUGUAAGAGGGUUAAAACAUGUGCAGAGGGGAAAGGGACAAAGUAGUCGGGGAAUCAGGGAUGCUGAAGGAAUGCAUGCUUAGACCCAUCAAUAGUUACAGCACCUUUAGUGCUUCCAGACUGAUUAAUAUGAUUAAUACAAAAAAGCACAUAAUCUUCUGACCUGUGGAAUGGAGGAAGCAUUAUUGAAACAUUAGGGAUACUGAAUUUGUUACUCCAAUGGCUACUGAAGCAGUAGCAUAAGUCAAUGCACAGGGAAGGCCACACCUAAACAUAUUUAUGUUUGUCACUGGUUGAUAUAGAUCCGAUAUUUACGUUCACAGUGGGGGGGGCAGGGGAGGGAGGAAGCAGUUAUUAAUAGCAGUGGUGGACUGUUAUCUGUGAUAUUGUGAAAACAGACCUUCACAACUAUGGUAUAUUUUGUGCUUGUGUGUAUAGUUACUGCAUCUAUAGCCCCUUAGGUAAAGCUUUUUGUUCAGCUUGCACAGCAAAUCUAUAACUAAUGUGCAUUUUUUAUAAUGGCUGUUAGUUCAAUUUUGAUAUCCUGUUAGGAAUGUUUGAAAUAAAGGUAACUGUAAAAAGACUGCAGAAUAUUCCACAGAUCUGAAUAGUAAUGUUGAUCCAAAUUGCUUAUUUUGAAUAAGAAAUGUUUAAAGCAAAAUAUUUACCUACACUAGUGCUCUUGGUACAGAAUCUUGCUUGACCAAAAUAUCGUUUAGUUUUGUGACAUGGUUUAUAUAUAUUACUCAGCAUAGAAUUGUGUCGGGUGUGAAAAUAACAUGGCAUUAAUCAUCAUUCUUGUUUUGGGGGUUCAUGAGUCAGCUGCCAUUUUGAUUAGAUGACAAUGGAAUCUUUAAUUUCUUACAGAUCACCUCUCCUAUUCCUUUAGGACAUAAGGAAAUUAUCUCAAAGCAAAAACAUACACCACUGUUUCAGUUCAAAUUCCAUGUAGCCACUAUCAGUAAAAUACAAAGGAAAAUACAUAUACAAUUUAAUCUACUAUUAAACUUAGCAGAAAAUGACAAUUGACUGAAAGCUCCAACAUUCUGCAAAUUUUUUCUU